GUGCUGGAUAUCCCUUCACUGGUAGCCUGGUAACAUACACUCCCAGGUCUUUCUCUGCCUCUGUGGUGGAUAGUGGAGUGUUUCCCAUGUGGUAUUGGUGUGCUGGAUAUCCCUUCACUGGUAGCCUGGUAACAUACACUCCCAGGUCUUUCUCUGCCUCUGUGGUGGAUAGUGGAGUGUUUCCCAUGUGGUAUUGGUGUGCUGGAUAUCCCUUCCCUGGUAGCCUGGUAACAUACACUCCCAGGUCUUUCUCUGCCUCUGUGGUGGAUAGUGGAGUGUUUCCCAUGUGGUAUUGGUGUGCUGGAUUUCCCCUCUCAAGAUACAUGG